UCCCGUGAUGGCAUGGAAUCUUUGAGACCUGAUCAUCUUGUUUGAUGACAACUAUAAGCAUUAUCGCUGAGGAU